rnacentral:rRNA from 1 species
AAAUUGAAGAGUUUGAUCAUGGCUCAGAUUGAACGCUGGCGGCAGGCCUAACACAUGCAAGUCGAACGGUAACAGGAAGCAGCUUGCUGCUUCGCUGACGAGUGGCGGACGGGUGAGUAAUGUCUGGGAAACUGCCUGAUGGAGGGGGAUAACUACUGGAAACGGUAGCUAAUACCGCAUAACGUCGCAAGACCAAAGAGGGGGACCUUCGGGCCUCUUGCCAUCGGAUGUGCCCAGAUGGGAUUAGCUAGUAGGUGGGG